UAUCUGGGUAUACACCGUGGCAUCACAAGGGCCACCCAGAACUGGCUCAACUCCCAUCAAGCCAAGUUCCCAGAGAUCACCCAGCUCGUCAUGCUAGAGCACUUUUUCAAUGUGCUCCCCAACGAGAAGGCGACGACGCAUUCGUAUGUCAAUCCAUAUCAACUUUCGAUGCCAUUGACUUGCGCCUACCAUGGUGACCACGGGUAACGGGGAAUCAGGGUUCGAUUCCGUACAGGAACCCUGACAAACGGCUACCACAUGCAAGGAAGGCA